CACUAUGAUAUAUUAUUAUAUUAUUCCCUAGAGCCUCCAGAAAGGAAUGCAGCCCUGUGGUUACCUUGAUUAUAACUAGUGAUGCACAAGUCAAACUUCUGGCAUACAGAACUGCAGGAUAAUAAAUUUGCUUUGCUUAUGCAGCUAAGUAUGUGGUAAUUUGUUAUGACAACAAUAGAACACUAAUGCAUUCUCACAGUUUUACUUGUAUAUGGUACCUUUGUUUAUCUCACUACCAGACUCUUAGCUCCUUGAGAGCAAGUGUAAGAAACAUGCCUUGCCUCUAUCGUAUCCAUCAAUAGGUCACUUUAGAAGCAGUGUCACAGAAAGCAAGGCAUGGUUGAAGAAACAAUGAUCAGUCAGGUGGCGGUUGGAGCAUGAUGUUCAUGACAUGGGAGGAACAGAAGAUAAGGCUGUACGAAAAGCAUGGUGCCAGCAUCUGCUCCUGGUGAGGAUCUCAGGAAGCUUCCAAUCAUGGUGGAAGGUGAAAGAAGAUCAGGCAGUGUUACAUGGUGAGAGAGAGAGCAAGGGAGGAGGAGGUGCCACACUAUUUUAA
rnacentral:lncRNA from 1 species